rnacentral:misc_RNA from 1 species
UAAAUUGUGCGCGGCGGCAAGCGGUUGAUCAAACGCUUUGCUGUUCAUUCCUAAUAGUCGGUCAAGUUGAAUAUUUUGAAUAAUUUCAAUUGCUAAUACAUAAUAUAAAGUACCAAACAUUCAGCAAGUGUGUGAAAAAUGGCAGAUUUUGAUUUUGUUCCGAUUGCUAUGGGCGUUGCAGCCAUCGUUGCCGGGGCAUUGAUAGUCCACUAUUUUAUCAAUAAGAAGUCGACGAAGCCCCGUCGCGAACCCAACCGAACUGCACGAUUACGCACUCUGGUCGAUCCCAAUGAUAAGUACCAGCUGCCACUGAUAGAGAAGGAGGUGCUCAGCGCUGAUACGAGACGUUUUCGCUUCGGUCUGCCCUCCAAGCAGCAUAUACUGGGUCUGCCUGUGGGCCAGCAUAUCCAUCUGAUAGCGACAAUUGACAAUGAGCUGGUCAUACGGCCGUAUACACCCAUCUCCUCCGAUGACGAUGUCGGCUACGUGGACCUGAUUGUGAAGGUGUACUUCAAGGAUACGCAUCCUAAAUUCCCAGCGGGUGGCAAAAUGACACAGUACUUGGAGCGAAUGGAAUUGGGCGAUAAGAUCGCGUUCCGUGGUCCCUCGGGUCGCUUGCAAUAUCUGGGCAACGGCACCUUCUCCAUUAAGAAACUCCGCAAAGAUCCACCCAAGCAAGUGACGGCCAAGUGCGUCAACAUGAUUGCCGGCGGCAGUGGCAUUACGCCCAUGUUGCAGCUCGUGCGCGAAGUGCUCAAGCACAGCGACAAGGAUAAGACACAGCUGGCGCUGCUCUUUGCCAAUCAGAGUGAAAAGGAUAUCUUACUGCGUGACGAACUAGAUACCUUGGCCAAGCAGCAUCCCGAUCAGUUUAAGGUCUGGUACACCGUGGACAAAGCAAGCGAAGCCUGGUUGUACAAUACGGGCCAUGUCAACGACGAGAUGAUGGGCGAGCAUCUGCAUCCGCCCAGCCCAGAUACAUUGUGCCUGCUGUGCGGUCCGCCGCCCAUGGUCAACUAUACCUGUAUACCGGGCCUUGAACGCCUGGGACAUCGUUCCGAGCAACGUUUUAGCUAUUAAGUAACGAAGCUUAGCAUUCGUAUAAUUUGAGCUUUUCAGUUAAAAAAUAACACAAAUCAAGGGAAAUGUUGUAUCUGUGUGCUUGUGCUGGACUUAUAGUGUUGGCUUCGUCAAUGAUGAGAUGAUCGCCGCUCAUCUGCUGCCCGCCAAUGACGACACGAUCGUGCUGCUCUGCGGCC